rnacentral:rRNA from 1 species
GGUCUCCGUAGGUGAACCUGCGGAGGGAUCAUUACACAACAAAAAUAUGAGGGUGUGGUUUGCUGGCAACAGCGUCCGCCCCAAGUGUUUUUCACCCAUGUCUUUUGCGCACUUUUUGUUUCCUGGGCGAGUUCGCUCGCCACCAGGACCCAACCAUAAACCUUUUUUUAUGCAGUUGCAAUCAGCGUCAGUAUAAUAAUUCAAUUUAUUAAAACUUUCAACAACGGAUCUCUUGGUUCUGGCAUCGAUGAAGAACGCAGCGAAAUGCGAUACGUAGUGUGAAUUGCAGAAUUCAGUGAAUCAUCGAAUCUUUGAACGCACAUUGCGCCCUUUGGUAUUCCAAAGGGCAUGCCUGUUCGAGCGUCAUUUGUACCCUCAAGCUUUGCUUGGUGUUGGGCGUCUUUUUGUCUCUCCCCUUGUUGGGGGAGACUCGCCUUAAAACGAUUGGCAGCCGACCUACUGGUUUUCGGAGCGCAGCACAAAUUUGCGCCUUCCAAUCCACGGGGCGGCAUCCAGCAAGCCUUUGUUUUCUAUAACAAAUCCACAUUUUGACCUCGGAUCAGGUAGGGAUACCCGCUGAACUUAAGCAU